rnacentral:misc_RNA from 1 species
GAUGAAGAACGCAGUGAAAUGCGAUAAGUAAUGCGAAUUGCAGAAUUCCAGUGAGUCAUCGAAUCUUUGAACGCAUAUUGCGCCCUUUGGUAUUCCGAAGGGCAUGCCUGUUCGAGCGUCAUUAUAACCACUCAAGCUCUCGCUUGGUAUUGGGGCUCGCGGUUCCGCGGCCCCUAAAAUCAGUGGCGGUGCCUGUCGGCUCUACGCGUAGUAAUACUCCUCGCGAUUGAGUCCGGUAGGUCUACUUGCCAGCAACCCCCAAUUUUUACAGGUUGACCUCGGAUCAGGUAGGGAUACCCGCUGAACUUAAGCAUAUCAAUAAGCGGAGGA